rnacentral:rRNA from 1 species
UAGUGACGAAAAAUAACGAUACGGGGACUCAUCCGAGGCCUCGUAUCGGAAUGAGUACACUUUAAAUCCUUUAACAAGGAUCAAUCAGAGGGCAAGUCUGGUGCCAGCAGCCGCGGUAAUUCCAGCUCUGAUAGCGUAUAUUAAAGUUGUUGCGGUUAAAAAGCUCGUAGUUGGUUCUGUGUGCCAUGCUGUUGGUUCACCGCCUGCCGGUGCAACUGACAUGUCAUGGGACGUACUGUCGGUGGCUAUUAAAGCCCUAUUCUUUUGAUUUAGGUAACACUUUAUCUAAAGGGUAGGUAACUUUAAUAGCCGAUUAACUCCUACCGCGGUGCUCUUUACUGAGUGUCGAGGUGGGCCGACAUUUUUACUUUGAACAAAAUUAGAGUGCUCAAAGCAGGCAAAAAUUUGCCUGAAUAGUGGUGCAUGGAAUAAUAGAAUAG